UAGGGAAUCUUCGGCAAUGGGGGGAACCCUGACCGAGCAACGCCGCGUGAGUGAAGAAGGUUUUCGGAUCGUAAAGUUCUGUUGUUAAGGAAGAACGAGUGUGAAAAUGGAAAGUUCAUACUGUGACGGUACUUAACCAGAAAGGGACGGCUAACUACGUGCCAGCAGCCGCGGUAAUACGUAGGCCCCGAGCGUUGUCCGGAUUUAUUGGGCGUAAAGCGAGCGCAGGCGGUUAGAUAAGUCUGAAGUUAAAGGCUGUGGCUUAACCAUAGUACGCUUUGGAAACUGUUUAACUUGAGUGCAGAAGGGGAGAGUGGAAUUCCAUGUGUAGCGGUGAAAUGCGUAGAUAUAUGGAGGAACACCGGUGGCGAAAGCGGCUCUCUGGUCUGUAACUGACGCUGAGGCUCGAAAGCGUGGGGAGCAAACAGGAUUAGAUACCCUGGUAGUCCACGCCGUAAACGAUGAGUGCUAGGUGUUGGGUCCUUUCCGGGACUCAGUGCCGCAGCUAACGCAUUAAGCACUCCGCCUGGGGAGUACGACCGCAGAGGUUG
rnacentral:rRNA from 1 species